UACAGGGGGGGCAAGCGUUGUUCGGAAUUACUGGGCGUAAAGGGCUCGUAGGCGGCCAACUAAGUCGGACGUGAAAUCCCCAGGCUCAACCUGGGAACUGCGUCCGAUACUGGAUGGCUUGAAUCCGGGAGAGGGAUGCAGAAUUCCGCAUGUAGCAGUGAAAUGCGUAGAUAUGCGGAGGAACACCAAUGGCGAAGGCAAUCUCCUGGACCUGCACUGACGCUCAUGCACGAAAGCGUGGGGAGCAAACAGG
rnacentral:rRNA from 1 species